rnacentral:rRNA from 1 species
GACGAACGCUGGCGGCGUGCUUAACACAUGCAAGUCGAGCGGAAAGGCCUCUUCGGGGGUACUCGAGCGGCGAACGGGUGAGUAACACGUGAGUAAUCUGCCCUUCACUCUGGGAUAGCCACCGGAAACGGUGAUUAAUACCGGAUACGACACGUCCAGGCAUCUGGUGCGUGUGGAAACUUUUUGGGUGGGGGAUGUGCUCGCGGCCUAUCAGCUUGUUGGUGGGGUAAUGGCCUACCAAGGCUUCGACGGGUAGCCGGCCUGAGAGGGUGACCGGCCACACUGGGACUGAGACACGGCCCAGACUCCUACGGGAGGCAGCAGUGGGGAAUAUUGGACAAUGGGCGGAAGCCUGAUCCAGCAACGCCGCGUGAGGGAUGACGGCCUUCGGGUUGUAAACCUCUUUCAGCUCCGACGAAGUCACUCGUUGAGGGUGGUGACGGUAGGUGCAGAAGAAGGACCGGCCAACUACGUGCCAGCCGCCGCGGUAAUAC